ensembl:lncRNA
GUGAUUUUCUACAUUGUAAUCUCUUAUCACAAACGCCAAAUACCUGUAUUUUGCGUCUUUUACGGUUGCUCAAAUCGAUCAGACCGAGAAACCACAAGGUACUUUAACCGUAUACCCAAAGUAGUUGUUCAUAAAGGUAAAAAAAAAAAAAAAAGCAAGAAAUUGACAGAAAAACGCCAGUUAAAAAUGGCUUGCAAAACUGCGUCUGCGGUCGGGAGGAGCCGGGUCGGAUAAUGCUCGUGUGUGCAGUGACCACUUUGUCAAAGGGCUCUGCAGGGAGACACCCUGGGUCUGAGCUGUCAGUCAGGCACUGUCUCUGCACUGCUCUCAGCACUGGGGCUCCAGGUUGUGAACAGGUCUUGGAACGUCCCAGUUUCCCCCGCUGUCCUCGAGAUGUCCAUGAGUGACCAGCUAUCACAAUGCCAAGACAGGUUCGAUAUUUUCUAAGAUGGAAGGAGAUUUCAGACGGAUGAUUGUGUGCGUGUGGUUCCCCUUUCACCUCCACUGUUGUACCUUGGGGAAAAAUGAAGGAAAAUGAAGCAAAAGUAGUGUAACCAACGUCUGCAGUGUGUUUCAUCGUCCCACAACUGUGUGAACAUUAUUGCGUGUUUAUAUUCGGGGCCCUCUCCUACACAAGGUGAAGAAAUGUGGAUGUAUGAAGAACCAAUCUGAAGAGCACUUAUUCUACUAGGCUGGUCAAUAAAGAACACAUUUUUAAUUCCAAUAACGGCCUGCCAAGAGGUGAACUACCUCCUGGAUGAUACUUUGUUCACUGGGAUGGUCCACAAAAAUAGAGACUUUGGAUAUUUUAAGUAGGUGAGGUACAGUAGCCUUGUGAUUAACAGUGUUCAGCCAGUUACCGAAAGCUCACCAGUUCAAAUUCCCUUGCUGAGGUGAGGAAAACAAUGUUUUAGAGUCCCCUGCAAAAUUAAAUACCCUUUAAAAUAGACCACAUGAAGUUAAGAAAUACGUUUUUUUAGAUCAAUUAACACUCAACAAAUG